rnacentral:rRNA from 1 species
UACGUAGGUGGCAAGCGUUGUCCGGAUUUACUGGGCGUAAAGGAUGCGUAGGCGGACAUUUAAGUCAGAUGUGAAAUACCCGAGCUUAACUUGGGUGCUGCAUUUGAAACUGGGUGUCUAGAGUGCAGGAGAGGUAAGUGGAAUUCCUAGUGUAGCGUGAAAUGCGUAGAGAUUAGGAAGAACACCAGUGGCGAAGGCGACUUACUGGACUGUAACUGACGCUGGAGGCAUGAAAGCGUGGGGAGCAAACAGG